rnacentral:rRNA from 1 species
UACGGAGGGUGCGAGCGUUGUCCGGAAUCACUGGGCGUAAAGGGCGCGUAGGCGGCGCGGGGAGUCAACGGUGAAAGCUCGGCGCUCAACGCCGAGUCGGCCGUCGAUACUCCCGUGCUUGAGCACUGUAGAGGCAGGUGGAAUUCCGGGUGUAGCGGUGGAAUGCGUAGAGAUCCGGAAGAACACCGGUGGCGAAGGCGGUGAGCUGGGCAGUUGCUGACACUGAGGCGCGACAGCGUGGGGAGCAAACAGG